GGCUCAGAUUGAACGCUGGCGGAAUGCUUUACACAUGCAAGUCGAACGGCAGCACGGGGCAACCUGGUGGCGAGUGGCGAACGGGUGAGUAAUGCAUCGGAACGUGCCAUUGAGUGGGGGAUAACGUAGCGAAAGUUGCGCUAAUACCGCAUAUUCUGUGAGCAGGAAAGCAGGGGACCGCAAGGCCUUGCGCUCUUUGAGCGGCCGAUGUCAGAUUAGCUAGUUGGUGAGGUAACGGCUUACCAAGGCGACGAUCUGUAGCGGGUCUGAGAGGAUGAUCCGCCACACUGGAACUGAGACACGGUCCAGACUCCUACGGGAGGCAGCAGUGGGGAAUUUUGGACAAUGGGCGCAAGCCUGAUCCAGCCAUGCCGCGUGAGUGAAGAAGGCCUUCGGGUUGUAAAGCUCUUUCGGCCGGGAAGAAAUCGCAUGGGUUAAUACCCUGUGUGGAUGACGGUACCGGAAUAAGAAGCACCGGCUAACUACGUG
rnacentral:rRNA from 1 species